UACGAAGGGGCGGAGCGUUAUUCGGAAUCACUGGGCGGUAAAGACGUGCGUAGGCUGUUCUGCAAGUCAGGAGUGAAAGACCCAACGGCUCAACCUUGGAAGCGCUCUUGAAACUGCAGGACUCGGAUUUGGGAGAGGAUAGCGGAAUUGUCAGUGUAGCAGUGAAAUGCGUAGAUAUUGACAGGAACACCAGUGGCGCAAGCGGCUAUCUGGACCAACAUCGACGCUGAGGCACG
rnacentral:rRNA from 1 species